rnacentral:rRNA from 1 species
GUCUACGGCCAUACCACCCUGAACGUGCCCGAUCUCCUCUGAUCUCGGAAGCUAAGCAGGGUCGGGCCUGGUUAGUACUUGGAUGGGAGAUCAUAUUUACUAUCACCC